UUUUUAAAAUUUUUACUCGUUCUUUAAUUUUUUAAUAGUAUUUUUGGGGGGGAUGGGGAGGUUUUUCCACCAUUUCGUUGAUAUUUUUUGUACUGAUGUUGCGAAGGCCGCCAUUUUCAGUUAAGAACCUUGUAUACCCGGGAAGCCUACGCGCUCCUAUCGAUCAGUAUAUAGCGCGAAGGUCUGAACAUGAGAAAAAUUUCAAAUAUUAAACUGUUUUAAGCUGUAAAACGAAGAGAUUUACAUAAAAAAAUUUUUAAAAAAUUCAGAGGCGGCAGAAA